UGCUAAACUAAUCUCUAUUUUUUAAGGGGUUUGAAAAUAAAUUAAACGGAUAAAAAUGCCACUGAAAGCCAGGAUUAUUUAAGGAAUGGAGAACAAUAGGAAAGCAUGGCAAGGAAAGAUCAGCCACUUGACAAUGAAGCAACAUCCUCAGCCUGAAGCACAAUAUUAUUAAGACACCUGACUCAACAGUGAUCAGAAUUUCACCUGCCCAGUAACAAGCAAAUGUGUUUGAUAAUGCCCUCUCCCUGUGGACACUGCUGCACAUGUUUUGGUAUUAGCCUCUCAUCUGAGAGGUUCGGCAUCCUCAGAAGAACACAUGUGAUGGGAAAGGACUAAAAGACAGCAACUUUUCAUUGUUCUGCUGAAUGGCUCUGGCCCACGGACACAAAAUAUUUCAGGCUGAUGAAAUGCUCAUACUUGAGAAGUUGUCCAUAUACAUAUAAGUACCAGUCAAGGGACCCCUUCUUUUUGGACAGCAGGUCACAGUCCCAGUACUGAG
ensembl:lncRNA